GAGGGUCCUACACCAAGAUGACUCGAAUAUGCCAAUGCGAAAGCGUUGACGUCGGGAUCGUAUGCCUCGAGUCUAAAUCCUGAAAGGGGGCGCAAAACAAGGGUGAGUGGACCAAGUUCAUAUAUAUAUAUAUAUAUAUGCAUAAUAUGAAAACAAUUAUGAACAUACUAACCCCCAUGUUUAUAAAUAAUGAAAACUACUAGCAUACUAGGUGAUAGGUUUUCUGAAACUCUAGCAUGCCAUAAAACAUCUCAAUAGGUAUAACGCGGAAAAACAUCAUAUCAAUCAUCGCGUAUAUCGUCUCAUAAGUGCGGUAUGUUGCUGGUAAGAUCACUGAAUAAUAAUACUCCCGACCUAAUGCCUGCACCUAAGUCUCUGUGCCCAUAGCCAGAGAUAACUCCAUCUCGGCCCAACGCCUUUCUCUGUGUCCUUCAGUUUUUGCUAGGGAUUAUUUCUCUCGGCCUAACUGCCAACACCAAAUCCUCACCCCAGGCGGCAUAGUGUCCACUAGGUACGCACAAAAAGUUACGCCUUUCAUAAAUAACCACUUCAUAGUACAAAGUCAUCCAUCAUUUAUACUAUAAGGAGGGGUUUCUAAAACAUGUUCUAGCAUCCUAUCGUCAUCCAUCAGAUAGUCUAACAGUUCAUGGUUUCAUAGAAAAUAUGAUAUAUUAAAAAUAUAGCUUAAUAUAGGCUAACAAUUAAUUCCUUACAAAAUAAUGAAACGAUAAUCAACAUUUCAGUAAACAUGCUUAACAUAAAAUCAGUUCAUAAACUCGUAAGGCAUGCAUUUCAUUUAUGCAAAUAAACUAUAAAAUUAUGUAAUUUUAAAAGGGGUCCAUCACCGUACACUGAUGGUGCAAAGUUGUACCAAAAAGGAAUAGUGGAAUCACAGCUAAUAAUUGCACCUAUUCACUUAAAGGGUACAUUUAGUCAAACACUACUCAAAUGAUUGAAUUUGGGAAAGCGGACUUAAAAAACGGGUCCAGGACGUCGAAAUUAGCCUAGGAGAGGUCCCGAACGAAACCCCGAAAAAUGAACUCUAAAGUCAACGUUGAUUGUUGACCGGUCCAAGUCAACGGUCAAAGUCAAAGUCAAAUUUGACCAUUGACUGAGUCAACAGUCAGAGUCAACAGGUCAAAGGGUCAGACUGGGCUUGGAGUUGGGUUGGGCCGAUUGGGCCCAAAGGGUUUUGGGUUUAGAGGGUUCAGGGAAAUAGGUUUAGGGUGAUGAGUUUGGGAAUGGGCUGAAAGCCCAAGCUUUAAUUGGUCCAAAAUGCUUAAAUAUAUGGGUCCUAAAUAGACGGGCCUAAUGUCCCAAUUAAAAUGGCCCAAGGGCCAUAAUUUUUUAAAAAAUAAUUAACUAAAACCUAAAAAGGUUUUUGGGUUGGUCAAACGGGCCACAUGCCCUAAAUGCAACGGCCUGAAGGCCUUUGGGUCCUUAAAACAAUUAGCCACAAAAUAAAAUAAAUAACAGAAAAAUAAAAUAAGGGAGAUAGACCAAAUGGGCUUGAAGCCCAAGUUCUAGAAUGGCCAAAAAAGGGCCUGGGUUCCCCACAGGCCUAAGGCCUGAGAGUCUUGAAAACGGCUUGGAAGGCCUUGUGCACAGAAGAAGAACGCCGGAGCUUUCCCAGCUCCAGCCGACUGCAAACCACGACCCUAAACUCCGAUCUAGGUAUCAAACGAAAACACAAGGUGAGACGAGAAGUUUCCCACCUUUGGUUCGUCGUAAAACGGUCGGAGGUAAUCGAAAAAUCCUUCGACACCCACGGUUUCACCAGAAAUGGGUGUGCCUUCCCCCGAGUCAAUUUCGUUCUAAAACCUUGUAAUUUAACGAGAUAAACUUAAUAAAUCUCAUCCAAACUUCACACUAGAAUGAAAAGAAAGGUAAAAUCGAACUUACAUAACCGGAAAAUCGAAGGAAUCUCGGCUGGAGAGUUCCUGGGUUCCACUACUUCUCACAGUGACAGGAGAAAGAAAGAUGAGGUUUGAUGAUGAUGAUGGUGGCGCCGUUGACGUCGGGGAGGGUGGUGUGAAGCACUCGGGUGUGGGUCAAGGGGUGAGAGAUCGGGGAGUGAGGAAGAGAGAGACAGGAGAGAAAGCAUAAACAGAAAGAAGAAAGAGAAGAGGUCACGAGGGUAAGGGACAGAGAGAGAAAGGUAAGGUUUGUUAGGGUGUUGCCACGUGGCAGUUUAAGGGAGUUUAGGAAAUCUAGAUAGAGGGUCCAGAUUUAGUCUAGCUAGGGGACCAAAAAUGAAAUUUCAUUAAAAAUUUUAGGGACUUACGAAAUUACACAAUUAUUUGGGGGUUGGGUGUAACAAUUUACCCCUCUUAAAAAAAUUUCGUCCCCGAAAUUUAAAAUUACUUACUAAACUGAAAUACUCGAAAUAGGAAGAAAAAUAUAUGUAUAAAGAGAAAUCAAGUCAGAGUGGGUUCAUUAAAAAGAAUAUGCCACACCGUCGCGAGCGGGUUGCAAAAUCCUUUAUCAUGCCUCCAAGCUCUUACUUUCUUCCCCAUCAGUGAAAACAUAAAAACAUACUUAUAAAGAUAUAAAGUUGAAAACAUAUAUUGACAUAGGGUCAAAAGUACGUACGUAAAAUACGAUAACGUCAAAAUAUAUAUUUAAUAACGUAUAGGUCGAAUCCCAAGAAUAACAAAUUCGGAACCACUGCUGAAGACGGGCCUUCCUGCCCACUUGCUUAACGAACCCAACGACUAAGCCAUUGAUAUCAUAGUCUGCAGCCCGCAAUAUCGAUAACACAUUGUUGUCUCGAUAAGCAGUAAUUUCCUGAAGGUGCACCAUUUCACAUGUCGUAAAUUUAAUCAUCCAAAAAUCGGUUCACAAUACUCAUCUGCAAACCAGUGUUGCAUGUAGAAAACUUUCGUACCAUGUCACAAAAAGUGCCAUACCCCAAACCGAACAAAAUAGAAACUAUCGUCAUAAAACUCUAUCCAAUACCAAGCAGAUCUGCUAGAAGUGUUUCGACAUGUACUCCCAACAAUAAGGUUUGAAAAUGAAGUAGUGGAAAGAUGCGUUGAGACGACACAUAUCGUUGGAAAAGAAACGGUAUGAUGCUUAUGAAUUGCAACAAGAUGGUGAUACAAUCCGUUGACCUUCUAUACUAAAACCUUCAACUAACUCUUACUACGAGACAACUCAAAUCUCACACCCACGUGGAAAUCUGUCUGGUAAGUUUGGUAAGCUUGUGAAAAGAUUAUGCUCCCAACAUUCCUAUCUAAAUCGAUAAGAAUUGGGCGCACACUUUCGCCGAAACGAUUGGUCGUGAAUUCCUCACUGAUUCAGCUAGAAGCCAUGUCGAGAAGGCUGAAAGAACACUCAAGAAUUUGAGGGUCAAAACAAGUCUUUCAAAAUUGGAGUACAAGAUACCCUCGAUGCAUUGUUCCAGCAUGAAGAUGCAAAAAUAGAAGUCACUGUCUAUGAUUAUUUGGUUAAUCAUCACAGUAAGAUCGACUGGUUUCUUAGCCAAAAGGAAACGGGUCUAAGAUCAAGAAUAGUUAAGAACUGUUAAUAAGAUUUGACGAGGCCAAAGACAUUUCAAAAUUCACAAUGCUUUGUGCGAGCUGUUUCAAAGUUCAAAAAUUAAACAUAGAACCUCUAAAUCCAUAGAAUGACGAAGAAGAAAUAUACGAAGCAGCCUGUGUAUGCCUGCAGUGACACGGUUGGCUUCCUUAAAGUGAUGCUCUUGAGCAAUCCAAAGCUCAAUGAGUCCAGAGAAGUUCAGAGUAUAGCUCGAUCUUCGUACAAUGAUGAAUGUGGUAAAGUCUCAAACCAUCACACUGAAAAUCACAAGGCUGAACAUUUAGUGGACAAAAGUAGUGGUUAGUUGGGCUACAAGUAAGAGGCUAAGUUCAUCACUACCGCAUUGCAUAUGAAGAGCGGACUCGUAGGGCUUUGCAAGCACAUGACCAAGUCCCAACAUUAAGCAAGCUUGAGAUCGACAUUCAAAACAAAAUGGCUUCGGCAGACAUGCCGCAUGAAUGUAUUCUGGCAACAGCCAAAAAAGAUCAAGCAAAUAAUGCCCAUGAGCAAGGUAUUUCACCUAAGAAUCCAGAUGACGAAGAUCAUGACCCGAUAGGCUAUUCAGUUCUCGAAAACAUGGAAAUUAGCAUGGUCCAUGUUUUACCUGUAAAGUUCUGAUCAAUCACAUCCCAACCAAAUUUCCUGGACGGUGGCGUGGUUGCCGAGAAGGCCACGCAAGUCAAUUUUGUGACCACCGAUGAAGUUAAGCCAAUAAGCAAAGAGGAUAAACUCAUGGCAUCUCUCGUCGAACUAUUACCUUGUUCCUCAUCCAUUAACCUUCAUCACUUAAAGUCUUUAUAUGUCACGGCACAUAUUGAAGGAUAUCCGAUUUCCAAAGUUUUUGUCAAUUGUGGAGCAACGGUCAACAUCAUGCCCGUUUCUAUUAUGAAAACACUACGUCGCUCCAACAAUGAACUCAUCCCAUCAGGGGUAACCUUUGUCGACGACAAAUCUCAGACCAAAGGAGUAUUUCCCUUAAAAGUAAAUAUCGUAGGUCAAAAUCACAUGACUGCAUUUUUCAUAAUCGAUUCAAAGACCAAGUAUAAUGUAUUGCUCGGUCGUGACUGGAUCUACUAAACUAGUUGUAUCCCUUCAUCACUAUAUCAAGUCUUCAUCUUUUGGGACGGCAAAUCGAUUGUAGUUCAUCCAGCCGACAAUCAGUCGUUUGAAGCUAAUAUGAUUCAGGCUCGUUAUUAUGAUGAUCACGUCAGUUACAUCACCCUCCAAGGGUUCAAUGAAGAAGGACGACCGAUGAGGAUCUCAGUACAAAAGGCCAUCGAGGUUGGCGCUGAGACUUUUCACCAAGAUUCGAUGAGACUUAGAUUGGCUAACCUAAUUGACGAUCCUGAUGUCUGACACUAAACAUGAUAGACAUUGGGCCACGAUUUCAUUUAUCAUGGAACGCAUGUUGGCCCAUUAGUAUACUAUUUCCAAGCAAUCGAAUUCAGGCCUGAACUUAGUGGAGUUCCUCGCCGAAAGAGAUAACGGUCUGGUCCUAUUACUUAAUAAAGUUCAAGUUGCUCCAGCUGAGCUUGAAGACAGUUAGCCCCAGGUUAAAGAUCCAUUAGAUGAAAUAAACGUUGGAACGGCCGAUGAACGUCGGCCUUUAUUCAUCAGUUCUUUGUUACCUCCACUUAUGAAAGUCGAGCUUUGUAACUUGCUUAAAGAAUUCAAAGAUUGUUUCGUUUGGAGAUAUCAUGAUAUGCCUGGUUUGGAUCAAAAGCUUGCCGAGCAUGAAUUAUGCAUCAAGGUUAGUUGUAAACCUUUUUAUCAACCCACCCCUCAGACGAUUCUCGACCGAAGUUCAACUCGGUAUAAAAGGUGAACUCAUUCAACUUUUAAAAGCUAGGUUUAUUCGAAUGGCUCGAUAUGUUGAAUGGUUGGCGAAUAUCGUCCUAGUUUUAACGAAAAAUGGUGGUCUACGUAUUUGCAUCGAUUUUCGUAAUUUGAAUUUAGCAACCCCUAAAGAUGAGUAUACAAUGCCAAUUUCAUACUUGUUAAUCGACGCAGUAGCAAACCAUGAGAUGUUAUCCUUCCUGGAUGGCCAUGCUGGUUACAACCAGAUUUUCAUUGCUAAGGCUGAUGUCCAUAAUAAUUCUUUUCGUUGCCUCGGGGGCACUAGGGACUUACGAAUGGUUCGUCAUGCCGUUGGCCUUAAAAACGUCGGUGCCACAUACCAACAUGCUAUGAAUACUAUUUUUCAUGACUUAAUUGGCACUGUUGAUGACGUAUAUAUCGAUGAUGUUAUGGUUAAAUCAAAGUGCCACCAAACACAUUUAGAUGAUCUUCGGCAAGCUUUCAUUCAUAUUCGCCAACAUAACCUUAAAAUGAACCCUGCCAAGUGCGCCUUUGGUGUGUCGGUAGGCAACUUCUUGGGUUUUCCUGUACAUCAUCAUAGCAUUGAGGUGGAUGAGAAUAAAGCCCGGGCGAUCAUUGACACUCCACCCCCGACGACCAAGAAACAACUACAAUCUUUACUCGGCAAAAUCAAUUUCCUCCGCCGCUUCAUUUCUAAUUUGACUAGGAUAAUGAAAGCUUUUUCCACACUUUUGAAACUUAAGGACUAUGACAAGUUCGAAUGGCGCCAGGAGCAUCAGGAUGAUUUCAUGCAAAUCAAGGUUUCCUUGACAACCCCACAUGUCCUCAGCACGGUAAACCUCUUAAGUUAUAUAUCUUGGCGGCCGAGGAAUCCAUUGGUUGUCUUCUUGCAAAAGACAACGACACAGGGCGGGAGUAAGCCAUUUUUUAUCUUAGCCGAAAUCUUAACCUAGCCGAGAUAAACUAUUUAGCCAUUGAAAAACUCUGUUUGGCUUUAUUCUUCCUUGCAUCUAAGCUCAGACAUUAUAUGCUUCAUUUUGUUACUCAGGUCAUCGCCCAAACAUAUGUUAUUUGAUAUAUGCUCACUCAGCCGAUAGUUAAAGGCCGAAUUGGGAAAUGGACAAUGGCACUGUUCGAUUUCAGUUUGCAAUACAUACCCUAAAAAGCUGUCGAAGGAUAGGAGUUGGCUAAUUUCUUGGCUUAACACCCUUCUCCAUAUGGUUUUAGGGGCAAUGAUGUCGAAAUUGGCAUGGUGGAAACACAUGAUAAUUAUUGGACGAUUUAUUUUGACGACUCUAGUACCUCAACCUCGGCCAGCAUUGGAAUCAUCAUCCAAUCCCCUGAUCACUACCGAUGGUAUUGUUCUCUCAAGUUGGAUUUCGAUUGCACAAAUAAUCAGGCAGAAUAUAAAGCCCUCAUCAUUGGCCUUAAUGUCUUUCACGACUUUAGGGCAACCCGCGUGCUCGUCCUCGACGAUUCGAAACUUGUGAUUAACCAACUCAAUGGGAUUUUCGUUGCAUGAGUUGUAUUUUGGCGCCCUAUCAUAUGUGAGAGGAGCAUAUUUAUGCGACUUAGUUAGCUUAUUUUCUUGCAUUUUCAUAGUUAGUUUCUACUUAUUAUAGUGUUUUAAGCUAUUUUCAUGUGUUUGUAGGUCCUAAUGAAAAAGUUGGCAAGAAAGUGCAAUUUGGAGCAUUUUGGAGCAGUUUUGAGCAUAAAAUGGAUUGCUUAUGAAUGGAGCAAAAUGGAUGGACAAAUUUGGAGUUCAAGAGGCUAUGAAUAUGCUGAAAAGAUAAAGAAAAUAAAUCAAGACAAAGAAGAUAAGGAAUCAGCUCAAAAGAAUGAACAUUAUCCAAAACCUUAUCCAACCUUAUCUUAUCUUAUCCUUGCCUAAUCUAGUUUUAUCCUAUCUUAUCUUAUCCAAAUCAGUUUGUGACUUAAAUCCAGUUGCAAGGGGACCUAAAAACCUAAUUUCGAGAAGGCCUAUCCUUUCCCCACGUUCAUGCCGCACCCUUAUCCUUUUAGAACCCUAAAUUGGUGCCGUGACCACCCUUUCUAGAAGACCCUAAAUAUCUAGCGCCUCUUCCUCUUCUAGAAGCCUUAGAAUCUGUUGGAAACCUCAAUCCUUUUCAUCUUUGGUUUCUGGCAAACCCUAGUCUUUUUCCUCAAGGAUUGUUCAAUCCUAAUCCUUAAGGAUUGUGCCGUGAGUUUGCCUUAUAAAUAUACAUAUUUGCCGCACAAAUCAAUUCACCACCCCCUCCCAAAUCAUUCUAAAAUCCUUUCAGCCGUAGAAACCACCAUUAUACACCAUUCUACAACCUGUGCCGUAACUUUGGAGAAGAAGAUACUCUUGUCGUGCAUUCCAUUGGAGAAGGAGAACGUUGUGCACAUGCCACCUGCGUCCUUGGGAGUUUUAAGAGUUCUUUCUUCCCUCGUUUUAGUUUCAAUGUUUAUUUCAGUUUGCUUUUCAAUUGCUAUGAACAUGUGUAACUAAGUUUUUCUUAGUUAGAGGUGAAUUCAAAGCCAUGGACAUAUGUUUAAUAUGAAUUGAUUCUUUUCAAUUUUUGUUUCACAAAACAUGAAUGUGAUUUACUUAUCUGUUUGAUUGAUAACUUAUUCUUGUAUGUUGGUUGAAGGUCGACACUUAAUUCACAUGCCUGAAUCUGAUGCUAAAUUGUAAGGGACUUUCACCUAAUCGUUAGGAACUUAUAAUUAAAAGUAGUGAAGAUUGUUAAUCACAAUCGUGUUAAGUAGAUUCUUGGUUAGAGUAUCAUGCAGUUCAUAGUUACAAUAACCUUGUCAAUGCUUAUGAUUUCCAUGGAACUUAAUGAUCUUUGAAUGUAUCUCUAUCAUGCUGUUCAUAUAGGGAACUUGAUGAGAAUAAUUUGGUUGCGAUGCGUUGUCCAUUCAAUUCAAUGAAUUUAAGGAAAUAUGAGAGUUAAUUAGUGUAUUCACGAUUAAUUUGGGGCAUUGUCGAUCAUGGUAAAGAAACAAUACUGGAAAUCGAUUUAUGUUGCAUAUGUUCAUGUGUAGAGAAUGACCCUCUAACUAGCCUAUUUCACCAUUCAAUUCACCUGAUUUCGUACUUAGUUUGUUUAGUUUUGCAAUCUGCUCAGUUUAAUUAAUUUUGUCCAAAUCAAUCCCCCCUUUAAUUAAGUGUCUUAGAUUAGUUAGUAAACUGUUUUAAUCUGUCCAAUUCAGUGUUUUGAGUCUUACUAGUCUUAAAUUCGUCCAAAUCACUUGUUAGGUCUAGAAUUGAGUCAAUUUCAUCUAGUUUUGCUGUUUUGAGUAGUUUGAGUCAGUUUUGAGUCUUAAGUGUUUAGUUUUGUGUUUCUAAGUCUAGUUUUGUGUUUUGAGUCAUAUUAGUGUUGAUUAGCAGCCCUAGUUAAUCCCCGAUCUAGAACGAUCCAUACUUGCUUAAUACUACAAUUACAUGUUUAAUAGGGUUUAAUUUGUGUGUCAAGUUAAUUUUCACAUCAAUAAGGUUGCCAGCUAUUUAGCCGAAUCAUUUGCAGGCAUUACUUUCAAGCAUAUUUUAUGAAUUUGAAAUACCGACGCAGACGAGUUGGCUCAAAUAGCCUUCGGAGCACAACUCUUAAAGGGUAAACUAGGUCGGGUCAUACCAGUGGUACGACGCCCACACCUGGCCUUGGUCAAUCAACAAGUUCUCCAACACGACCACAUAAUCUGUACAUGAGUUAUGUCCUUACCUUCAUUGUUGGAACUAGAGGAUCGUCUAAAUAUUUGCAUAAUUGAAACAUUACCACACGACUGGAGAAGAUUAAUUAUGCAGUAUCUCAAUAAUCCCAACGGCAAACAUGACUACAAGACAAGGGUACAUGUGACAAACUACAUAAUGUAUCAAAAUAAACUAUACCAAAAAGGUGAAGAAGGUUUGUCGUUGUUUUGCCUUAGCCCGGAAGAGGCCAUUCCUGCUGUUAUAGAAGUACACGAAGAAAUAUGCGGAGCUCAUCAAUCCGGACGCAAAACAUGUUGGUUACUCCACCGACAAGGUUAUUUUUGGCCGAGCAUGUUAAAGGACUGCAAUGAAUACGCGCGAGGUUGUGUACAAUGUCAAAUCUAUGGACCCAUACAGAGGGUCCUAGCCAACUUACUUCACUCAGUUACCAAGCCAUGGCCGUUCAAAGGAUGAGCCAUAGAUGUAAUCAACAAGAUUACGCUGUCUUCCGGAUCAGCAAAGCAUGCAUGGAUACUUGUAGUAACCGAUUACUUCACCAGGUGAGUUGAAGCAAAAUCAUACGCCGAGUUGACAUCUAAAGAAGUUUUCAAUUUGGAGAAGAAAAUAUCGUGACGAGAUUCAGCCUAGAAACAAUUAUAACGAAUAAUGGCACGAUUUUUACGGUUGACAGGUUUAAGGAAUACUCAGCAAAUCUGAAAAUUCAGCUCGAUCAGUCCAUGUCGUACUACCCACAGGCAAAUGGACAGGUCGAAGCAAGCAAUAAAGUUUUAAUUGGUAUCCUAUGCGUUAACUUACGAACACGACACGAUGCUACCAGUCGAGUUAAACAUAAAUUCGCUACGGGUUAUUGAACAAAGCAGCUUGUUCAGUGCCGAGUACAAUCAGGCCAUGAGGCAAGAGUUAGAGGACUUGCAUGAAGUUCGGCUUGAUGCGUAUAACUUACUAGUAUAGCCAAAAAAGACUGCCAAACGAGCUUAUAACCGACGAGUGAGGCAAAAGACGUUCAACGAAGGUGAAUUAGGGCAAACCGUGUUGCCAGUGGGGAUUAAAGACCCUAGAUUUGGGAAAUGGUCGCCGAAUUGGGAAGGACCACUAGUCGUUCACAAAGUUCUCGCCAAGGGGGCAUACCACCUCAAGGAUCGAACUGGUUUAAUUCAUAAAUUGCCAAUUAAUGGGAAAUUCUUAAAGAAAUAUUAUUCGGUCACUUGGGAAAUGCAAGAAUAAAAAUUUUAUUUCAUUGAUUGAAAAAGGCCGUCUAAGUAAAGUUACAAGCAGACGACCGACCUACGAAAGAAGAAAAGCUUCAAGAGCAGCUUUCAGUUCUAGCCACCUCACUUCGCCCAUCGUAACCUCGGCUUGUCAAGUUGUAAUCGUUGUAUCCAUUUUGUGCCAGCUGCGUACUCUGCCAGCAGAGGCUUACUCGACUCGAAAUCCUUUUGUAUCCAUUUUGUGCCAGCUGCGUACUCUGCCAGCAGAGGCUUACUCGACUCGAAAUCCUUUUCAAGCUCAAAAGAAAUGGCUAACCUUUGACGUUGAAGUUCAGUGAUUUGAUGGUCAAGGUCGGCCAGUUGUUCCUUAUUUGCCUUUAUGACAUCGAGCUUUGGUCGGAUAGCUUCAUGAGUAACCAUUGCAGCCUUGAGAUCAUCCUCUGCCUAAAGAACCCGUUCAAAGGUAGUGAAAUAUUGUCGGGUUCGUUCUAGGAUAUUAGAUAGAUGAAUGACAUUCUCGUCGCUUAACAAUUCAUCGGUUGUAAGGUCAUUCAGACAUUCUCCUUUAUAAUCAAGGCCUUUACGUUGGAGGAUUUGCAAGGCUGAGAGAGACAGAAGCUCCUGCAGCUUGGCAAGGGCACUGGAUUUGACCGCGGUUGCAGAAGGCUUGGCCAUAGUUGCAGAAGGCCCAACCGUCCCAGAAGUGCUAAAGAUGAGGGCAUCGAGCUCAACUUCCCAUGAAGGCUGCACAGAGAAAAGUUGUUAAGAAAAAGAGAAUUUAAAGGAAUGGCAGAAAAGGAAGUUGUGUUUGACCUGCCAAAAGGAGACUUCGGCCAUGUCUACUAGUUCGUUGCUCGAAUCCAGAUAACUCAAUGGUCAAGCCCAGUGUUUAAGGCAGCUCUUUAAUUCAUGCAACCAAUGUAGGUUAUCUACGUUUGAUGGCUACUGAGGUGGCCAAGAAACAUAAAUAACGCCUUUUGGCGCAUAGAAUUUUUGGUGAAAUGAGCGAUUGAGCACCUGGCAUUUAAUGUUUUCUUGGUUUAGAAUUCUAUAGGUUGGAAAUUAAUAAAAGAAAAUGAUUGAGCCUUAAAAAAGUCGAAGUGACCUCUUCCAGUUGCCUCCGAAGUGGGGCUCUAUCCGGGUGACCCAAGCAGCCCAGUCGCAGGAGUUGAGGGCCAAGCUCCUUGGGGUUUAACCGAUUCCCACUUCGACCAAUUGUACCCUUGGAAUAGGGAUUCAAGGCAGUGGACCUUCAAGAUCGUGGUGAUGGUUUAUGGGACUUCAUCCUUAAAAAGUGGUCCUAGAGUUUGGUGGGAAGCGCUUGAAUCACCCUCGGAUCGAAGGGUUUUAAUGGCGUUCCGAUUGAUAAAAUCUCUGUUUUUGUUGCAUUCUUCGGCUAGUUUGGUGAUGAAGGUGUUGGCAGCCAUGGAUGAAGGUUGAAGGUUUUCUGGGUUUCAAAGUUUGGCUCCUUUUCUGGGCUGAGAGCAAAUGGCAAGAAGUUUUGGAAGGUUGAAAGCGUGAAAAAUCCAAAUGAAGAUGAGCUAAGUAUUUAUAGGCAUUUGGGAAGAAGUUCAACAGUUUAAUUUUAAUAGAAUGAGGGGUAAAUUCGACCAAAGAGUUUUGUAAUCAUAACAUGUAUUUAAAAAUCCAGGUGAAGAGGCCGAAAAACUCGCAGAUUGAGGAUGCACGAUUGCGUGUGACGGCGAGGUUUAUGGAGAAGGGAUGUUUCAGUCCUUGCACACUUCGAACAUCAUUAUUGAAGAAUGACUGUUAUGCUCUUAAAUUAGCUAUUAUAUAUAUAUAUAUAUGUAAUAAUUCUCCUUGUUUACACCUUUGUUUUACUCUUCUAUAUAGGUUUUACAUUAUAUUUGUGUUUUGUAGGUUUUAACAAGCAAAGAGUGCAAAAGGAGGUAAAAAAGGUUUUUACACUCCUAUGUUGUCAGCACAGCAUGUGCAGAUCAGCUGAGUUCAUGGUUUAAACUGUAUUGACUCAGGAAGAACCAAGAGAUGUGCCAUUAAUGUUUGGAAAGCCACGGAUGUCUAUUUUCUGUAGAAUUUUACUGUUCGUAAAUAUCAUUUUUCUAGAGGGAGUUAUGGCAGUUUUAGUACAUGAAGGUGGGGCUACACGCGAAUACAAAGUUUUCUAGAAACAUGUAUCAAUGUGGCAGAUUAAAUGAGGGUUAAAAUUCCUAUUUAUUAGGAGUUUUAACCAGUUGGAAGAAGCCAAAACAUUUGGAAGGAAAUAAAUAAGAAGACUAAUAAGAUGAGACCUUAAAGCCCAUUGAAUUAGAAUGAAAAAAGAAGGCUAAUUGCCUUGUCGGUUACAACUAGAAGGAGAAUGAAGGAGGAUCCCCUAUCAGACCAGCAGGGGGGGCGUGGGAUAUAAAAAAACAGAGAAAGAACAAGCAACGGCAGAAGGGAGAAAAAGGAAGGGCCAGAGCACUGUUCUGCAAUUCGUCAUCGAAGAGUUUCUUCUUCUCCUUUUACUUCCUGUUUUGUUUGUCUUUACAGCCCAUUUACAUUAUGAGUAACUAAAUUUCAUAGUUAGGACUUGGUUGAAGUCCUAAUCAUAUUUCCUUGAGUAUUUUCGAUACAUUUUUGUUACAAGACAAUUUGUUGAUGCUUUAGUGAUUAAGUCCAGUUUUAAUUCCAAUUUUAUUGAGUUAUUUUAUGAUUGAUCACCAUAGAAUAGCUUUGUAAUUGAGUUCGUUACAUGGGUAAAUUUGGAUGAUCGAGUCUUGUACCUAUGCCGAGUAACAAGAGAACUAGUUACAGUUCUUGGAAUUAAUUAUCACGAAUAACAGGAAUACAUACCAUGUUCUAGGAUUCGUGUGUUUGUCGAUUUCCAUUGUAUUAUGCUUUCUCGGAGUGCAACUUAGUAGAUACCAUACUAAAUACUUCGAGAAUGAAAAGAGUUAGUGUAGACACCCAUGCCUAAUUCGUUGUUUAUGGAAAUCAAUAGCUUAAAGAGUAGAUACCAUGCCUUUAGGUUGACAAACGUUAAGCAUCAAAAAUCUGUUUUGUAUCAUCGUGUGUAUCGGUUGCUUAGGCAAAAAAGGUUAGAGAUGGAAAUCAAAGUCCUAACCGUUAAACAUCGUUUUCAAAACCCUUAUUGCCAAUUACUUUUAUUUGCCUACGUUCUUUAUAUUGUGUUUUAAUACUUAAACUUAAGACAUCUCAAACUAUUUUGUUAAACCUUUAUGUGCAUAGUUGCUAGUUUUGUGAAUUAAUUAAUUUAAAUUGUUAGGAAUCAUACUCUGGAUACAUAUUAGUGAAAUCCUCGUGGGAAUGAUCUCAUACUUGCUUUCUAUACUAUGUGUUUGAUCUUGUGCACUUGCGAGUUUAAAAUGUGCAAUUAGUAGUUUAAAAUUUAGGUUGCUAAAUGCAUAACAAGGACAAGUGGGCUGAGGAACGACCACAUGGAAGGGAAUUUGAUAGGUUCAAAAAUCGUGCAAUCGUGUCUAAUAAAUGCGCCUGGAUGGUUGGAGUAUUCGAGGCUUUUCAGUAUCCUUUGGUUUAUUAGAAGGAAUAUGCUAAAGGGUUUAUUUCACUUCUUUAAGGUCGAGGCUCGGCCAAGGCUUGUAGGCCGAAGACCUCAAAAGCGAGAGGGCAAUGUUUGGGCCCAAAAUAAUAUUUUGGGCCGAACUUAGAGUCAUUCUUGGCCCAAUAGCAUUCAUCUAGAAUCUUGUUAUGGGUCGUUCGGUCAAGGUCGACCGAAUCCUAUUGCGAGGAAGAUUGAUUUAGAUAAAGGUGAGGUAGUCGAAUCUUAGUGCAACAAGGGGUCUUGAAGCUGAGGAUGCUUAGAGUUGGGAGAUGAAUUUGGUUCGUUAUGGAGCUUGGUUCAAAGUCCUAUAGGAGCUAGGAUUGACCGAAACCUAAUCAAAUUGGGUUAAGGAGUUCUAGUUUGGCCAUGAGAGGGGUUCACUACUAUAAAUAGAGAAGGGAGUGCAUCAUUCAGGGCCCCUUUCAAAUCAACACACAAAUUGCCCUACGCAAAGCUUCUCAACAACCUUUGAGAUUUUAUCCUUCUCCCCUUUCUUCUGCCAAAACAUCUUCAGUUUGGAUAAACAACACUGUGAAGGCAACCAGCAACAUCUUUAGUUUGGAUAAAUGGCACUGGAGUUGUAGAAUCAGUCGAUCGAGGAGCACCUUCAGUUUGGAUAAACAGCACUGCUUCGAGACCGACUUGUUACCAUAACUCUUCACACAUUCUAAUGUACUAGUAGCCAAACUAUCCUUUGAACUUUGUGGCACAUUAGGCUGCUCAAAAUACUGUUCAAGAUUCUUUUUCAAAUCUGGAGCGUAGAAAUCAAAAGUGGGAUCGUUCCAACGCCAAUGUGAGUCAUUCCUCAUAUUAAUAUGCUUCUUCACUUAGUCUGGAAAAUAUUUCCUUUCAGGGCAUUGCAAAAUUUCAUGGGUAUUUGAACAACAAAGGGCACAAACUAUAGGUUAAAUUCAUAGAAAUCCUGUUUUGCGAAAGAAACCCAUAGAAUGGGUCUUCCUGCUGGUGGUAGUUCCUGGCCCAUCGUUGAAUUGCUCCCAAAAUCAAUAUAUUGUAACAAGGUGUUUUCUUGUUGGAAUCCAAACCAAUCCGUUGGAUGUUCUUGUGAGAAUCCAAACCAAUCCAUUGCUGCUAAUGAAUCCCAUAAAGGUGGUGGUCUUGCUAGUGGUAGUUCGCAACACAUCAUUGUAGCGCUCUCAAAAAUCAACAAACCAACCUAAAAAAAUAAAAUCAGCAAUUACAUAAAAAAUAUAUGUAUGUACAAUAAUAAUUAACUAAGAAUAUGAUAAAUGCAAAUUAUUUAAAACAAUCCCCGACAAUGGUGCCAAUUUCUUGAUAAUGAUUUUUACUGCAAAAGUAGGGAUAAAAACAUUUACAAAUACUUGCAAGAGAACAAGGUAGUUAUAGUAUAAACGGCUCAAGCAAGGUCGUUUUCACAGGGAUUGAUUGAAUAAUUGGAACUUAAACUAACUCUUAACUAACUAUUUAAAACAAAGUUUUGAAAAUGUUGAUUUUAUGACCUAGAAUAUUAAAAACGAAUUUUAAAUUAAAAAAAUUAAAGAAAAACAUGAAAGAAACCAAUUUGAAAGGGAACAAUCUUAGAAAAUAAUGAUAAAAGGACACUAGAGUUUUGUCAUCACCUUAACAAUCUUAUGUAGUUUUACCAAUUAGUUAUGAAUUACACAUGCAACUUUGAAGGUUAGGUUUUCCUUAUGCAUAUUCUACUUGUGGCAUUCAAGCUAAAACGUAUAUCAAACAUGCAAUCUGUCUAUGGCAUUCAGAUCAAAUAUGAGCAUGCAUGACCCAUUACGCUUUGUGAAAACUCUUUGAAAAACCAUGCAACCCCUAAGACGUGGCAUUUGCCCUAGGUGAACUUACAACUAUCGAUCACAAGAAGCAAUACUCAAUCCUCCGGUGGCAUUCUUACCGAAUUGCAUCCGAUUACUUAUCUAAACAUCUUAAUGGUAGCCAAGCAUUAAGAUAUAGAGACAGUUUAAACACAGUGAUUAAUAAUUCAAAGCAUGCAUGCAUAAUAUCAUAAGCAAUUAAAUAAAGACUACAUAUUCAUGUUAAGGCUCAAGGCAUCACCCUAACAAACGGAGAUUAGUUACAAACAACCAUAAAACAAAAGGAAUUUUAUUGAAAUAGAUAAAGGAUAGAAAACACCUUGAAAUACAAAAUGUCAAAGACUAGCUAAGUUCUCCAAAUUGAUGCCUUUGUUCCUAAUAAAACCUUAUUUAUACUACUACAAACAACCAAUAAAACCUUAUUUAUACUACUACAAAAUAAAAUCCUACCUAGAAAAGAUCUUCUAAAAACUAGGAAUAUAAUUGAAUAAGAUAACUAGGAAAUAAAAGGUUUCUUAUUUGAACUAAAAUUCAAACUUCUCAGAAAAUCAGACUUUUAACCGACCAAAUCAACUCCGAUUUGGUCCCAAAGGGUCUCUUUUUAAAGCUUGAGACAUCCCAAACCCUAACAAAUCCUCAGAAGGAAUCUUCUUUAAAAUAUGCCAUCUUGACCUCCAAAAUGCCCAAAAUGUUCAAAAACGUCAAUUCGGGAAAGCUGCUUGUUGGGCCUUAAUUUCAUCCACACGGUUAAACAGCUAGGUAGAAAAAUCUAAAACUUUGAUACAAUCAUCUUGAAAGACUCACGAACAUCCUCCAAUUGGAAUCACUCCAAAAUUCAUCUGUUUGAUCACUUCUUGCUCCAGGGGAAAUCAAAUGUCCUACAUUGAAAAUAUAUAACAAAGUAUCAAAAUUCUACCAAAAUAACCAAUAAACUAUAACUAAGAAUAGGGUAAAAUAUAUGGUACAAUAUGAACUCAUCAGUGGAUCCACUAUAUUGGAAGCAAGCAACUUUGUGUCAAUCAACUUUGUGUCAAUCUCCUUUAUCUUUGUGUUGUCAACUUUGUGUCAACUCCUUAAUUCAAGGAGCUUGUCUUCCCUAAGCCACCUUUGUGGCAUAAAUCAAGGGGUCAAUCUCCUUAUAUAUUGUUGUACAAUUGUAAUGAUAUCAUAAUGAAAAUACAAAACAUACUUUGAAAAUCAACAUGGUAUCAGUGCAGGAAAUCUAACCUACUUCUGCUGUACUACUAUCCGAGCGUGUUCAAUCUUCAAAAUGACUGCAGACAAUUCGUUAUGAUCAGAACCUGAAAGUUCACAUGUGAUUUCCUCCAUGAAUGUGCAUGAGGUGGAUGUCAACCCAAAUCAAAGAUUAAGCUCAGUCUUGUUGAAUGAGUUUAAUUACUUGCCUUGGUCGAGAGCAGUGUCUCUGGCUCUAGGUGAAAGGUCCAAGUUAGGGUUCAUAAAUGGAAGCAUCAAAGUACCUAAUGCUUCCUCACCAACCUAUGAAUCCUGGCUUAGCAAGGAUCGGCUAGUUAUGUCAUGGCUCCUGAAUUCCAUGGAACAGAAAUUAGCUGAAAUAUUCAGUUACUCUGAAUCUUCAUACCAGCUAUGGGAGGUGGUCAAGGAAAUGUAUGGCAGCCAGAACAAUGCUGCAAGGGUUUUCCAAUUAAAGAAAGACAUCUCCGAUCUGGAACAAGACGGCACGCCGUUUGUGCAACUCCUAGGAAGCAUGAAAAGCAUGUGGAAUGAGUUGGAAAUUUAUCACCCUCAUACAAUAGACGCAUAACUGCUACGAAAGAGAGCAGAAGAAAACAAGAUAUUUCAACUCUUAUCCAGUCUCGAUUCAACGUAUAAAGAUCUACGAUGUCACAUACUCAUGAACACUGAACUUCCUUCCUUCACCAGUGUAUGUGCAACAAUCCAACAUGAAAAAGUAAGGAGGAAAGUCAUGAACAUGGGUAUAAUGGCUAGUGUACCUGAGGCUAGGGCAUAUCUAAACAACGAGAGAAAGUACAAAGGAAAACAUCUAAACUUGAAGUGUCAACACUGCAACAAUAUAGGUCAUGUUAAAGACACAUGUUGGAUUUUACACCCAUAAUUAAAGCCUGACUUCAUGAAGGACAACAAGGGUUUACAAAGGGUGAAUCGUACUACACAAUAAGCAAAUCAUGCGUCUGCCUCCACCUCUAAUGGGUCUAAUCCAUUCAAGAACUUCACAACGAAUCCAGCUGAACUCGUGAAUGAGUUUAUGUCGUACCUUCAAGGCAAGAAAAGAGGGGUUGGAAUUGACCUGCAGACAACAUAGGAGAAGGGAACACGACGGCAUUGCUCGGUAAGUUUACGGGUUUCUUGGCAGAUACGAAACCCGUACCCCAAGAGAACAUGCAAGGUAUCAUGAAAGCCUUUAAAACUUCUCUUAAAAUAAAUAUGUUGCAUGAUUUUUGGGUUGUAGAUUCGGGUGCCACAGAUCAUAUGACUAACCAUGUGUCUAAGUCUCAAAAGUUUGAAAAAUUCACUAAUCUUUCCCAAGUUUCAAUUGCAAAUGGUGAGAGUGUAAAGGUUUUAGGAAAGGAAAAAAUAAAUAAUGUCAAAUGAAAUUGAAUCAAUGGCUUUGUAUGUAACUUCCUUCCCAUUUCAACUUCUAUCUGUGGGAAAGAUCACAAAUACCUUGAAUUGCUUAGUUAUAUUUUCUCCUCACAAUGUCAUCUUUCAGAACUGUGCCACCAAGAAGACGAUUGGUGAAGGGUUUUAUUUAGAAGGUCUCUAUUACAUAUUAAAAAGCAAUCCCAGAGGGUUCCAAGCCAAGUUCAAUCCCAUUCAAGAUAAUCAAUUGUGGCAUCAACGUUUAGCUCACCCUUCUCCACCCAUUUUGUCAACUUUAUUUCUAAACUUAGGGAAGGAUGCUAUUUCAUGUGAAACAUGCCACUUGUCUAAGGCCACUAGAUUAUCUUUUAACUCUUCCUUGUCCAGGGCUAGUAAGUGUUUUGAACUAGUUCAUUCAAAUGUAUGGGGACCAACUAGUGAAUCUUUUGAUGGUUAUAAGUUUUGUGAUCUUUGUUGAUGAUUUCUCUUGAGUCACUUGGUUGUAUCUUCUAAAGUCUAAGAAUGAAGUUAUGGAAGUAUUUAAGGACUUUUAUAACCUUGUUAAAAACCAUUUCUUCUCUCAAAUUCAAACCUUAAAGUCUGACAAUGGCACCGAAUAUAUGUCCCAUAUCAUGAAACAAUAUUUAAGCACUCAUGGCAUCAUGCAUCAAACAAGUUGUGUUGGCACACCUCAACAAAAUGGUGUAGCUGAACGCAAAAACCAUGACUUACUUGAAAAAACAAGAGCACUAAUGCUACAAAUGAAUGUACCAAAGAAAUUUUGGUCCUAAGGGGUUAUGGUAGCUGCUUAUAUCAUCAAUAAAUUACCUAGCCAAGUCUUGGAUUUCAAGUCUCCCCUAGAGGUCACAAAAGGAAGUAAAAUUGAUCUCUCACACCUUCGAGUUUUUGGCUACAUAUGUUUUGUGCAUAUAUCUCAUCACCGAGAUAAAUUGGAUCAUAGAGCUGUUAAAUGUAUUUUUCUUGGUUAUUCAUCUAAACAAAGGGAUAUAAGUGCUAUAAUCCUCAACUAAGGAGAUUGAUUGUGUCUAAAGAUGUUCGAUUCCAUGAAACUAAUCCUUUUUUCAGCAAGUCACAUGAAAUCACAAGUCAAGGGGAUGACAUCUUGGAUGUUUUCCCACUACCAAGAAUCGAACUUAAGGCUCCUCAACAACAAGAUCCUAGUCAUGUCAACAUUGAUGCAUCUCUCAAUGAAAGUAGCAAUAAAGGGUCUCACUCUGAUGGUACACGGCAUGAAGAUGGUGAUAAUCAAGAUGACCCUCAUAAUACUGUCCAAAAUGUGAACGAGUUUGAGACAACUCUUCCUGCUCCUCAACGCAAUCCAAUGCGUGUUAGGAAAACUCCUACAAGACUUUAAGACUUUGUCAUCUACAAACCCACACAUCCCAUCUGCCAAUGUGUGUCGUACAAGAGAGUGACACCAACCCAUGCUGCAUUCCUAAGCACCAUAUUAAGUUACAAUAAGCCUUAGAAUUUCCAUGAGGCUAACAACCAAGAGGUUUGGAAGGAAGCAAUGCAAGAAGAACUUAAAGCUCUAGAUCAACACAACAUCUAGAGUAUCACCAAACUUCCCAUAGGCAAGAAAGUCGUGGGUUGCAAAUGGAUUUAUAAACUUAAAUUCAAGUCAGAUGGAUCAAUUGAGAGGCAUAAAGCAAGAUUGGUAGCUCGAGGAUUCACUCAAACAUACGAGGUGGAUUACAAAGAAACGUUUGCACCUGUUGCCAAAAUGAACACCGUGAGAGUGCUAUUGUCCGUGGCAGUAAACAAGGGGUGGUCCAUGUACCAAAUGGAUGUAAAGAAUGCAUUCUUGCAUGGAGAUCUCAAAGAAGAGGUUUAUAUGAAAUUGCCACCAGGGCAUCCUCAAAGCAAUGAACCGAAUUUGGUGUGCAAAUUGCACAAAUCCAUUUAUGGCCUGAAACAGUCUCCACGAGCUUGGUAUGGCAAACUAAGCUCAGUUCUCACUAGUGUUGGUUUCAGAAGCAGCAAUGCCGAUUCAUCACUAUUUGUUCGCACAAGAGCUGUGGGAAAAUUGGUUGUGCUAAUCUAUGUUGAUGAUCUGAUAAUUAGGGGUGAUAAUGCUGACGACCUCAACCUCAAACAGUCCCUCAAACAAAGGUUUGCAAUUAAAGACCUUGGGAUAUUGAAGUACUUCCUUGGUAUAGAAGUGGCAACCUUGCACAAGGGGCUAUUUCUUAAAUACAGAAAAUAUGUCUUAGAUUUGCUCAAGGAAGCCAACAUGAGCGAUGCUAAACCGGCCAUUACUCCUCUCAACAACAAGCACAAACCUAGCUUGAAGGGCACGCCACUCACGGAUAUCAGCCAUUAUCAGCGAUUGGUGGGUAAGUUAAUUUACCUAACAAUCACUAGACCCGACAUCACAUAUUCUGUAAGUCUUGUGAGCCAAUUCGUGCACUCCCCGACUUUUGAGCAUUUGACCCUUGUUAAAAGGAUCUUAUGCUACUUAAAAGGAUCUUAUGCUACUUAAAAGGAUCAAUGGGUCAUAGAAUCCUCAUGCAAAAGAAUGACAAAACACAAAUCAUGGGAUAUUGCGAUGCUGAUUGGACUGGGAAUGCCAUUGAUCGCAAGUCCACAACUCGCUACUAUACCUUUGUCGGUGGAAACUUGGUCACAUGGAAAAGUAAGAAGCAAACUGUUAUCGCCAGGUCAAGUGAUGAAGCUGAGUAUCAUGCCAUGGCUUCAAUUGUGUGUGAGUUGAUUUGGCUCAAGGGGCUUCUGUGCGAUUUAGGUGUUCCUACAACUCUUUCUAUGUCCUUAUUUGGUGACAAUCAGGCAGCCAUGCAUAUAGCAUCAAACCCAGUGUUUCACGAGUGGACGAAACACAUUGAAGUUAACUGCCAUUACGUUCGGGAGCAGGUACAGUUGCAGGUGAUUCAGACACACUAUACAAGAAGCUUCGACCAACUAGCCGACAUCUUCACAAAGCCUUUGGCUUCUCAUCAGUUUCAGCGACUUCUGUCCAAGCUUGGAUCCAUAAACCUCCUAGAUCCAGCUUAAGGGGGCGUAUUAGAAGCAAGCAACUUUGUGUCAAUCUCCUUUAUCUUUGUGCUGUCAACUUUGUGAUAACUCCUUAAUUCACGGAGCUUGUCUUCCUUAAACCAUUUUGUCGAUUGUCUUCCCUAAGCCACCUUUGUGGCGUAAAUCAAUGAGUCAAUCUCCUUAUAUAUUUCUGUACAAUUGUAAUGAUAUCAUAAUGAAAAUACAAAACAUACUUUGAAAAUUAACACACUACGAUAGUGGUGACUAUGGUUAUAAAUUGGAUUUUGCUAAAGCUCCAAGACAAACAACCGCCAUUGUUUAAAUUCAUGGGUUAAGGUUCGCACAAAACAGUAUCACCAUAGACCUUUACGACUCCAUUUCUGCUCUUGUUUUCUCAUCCUUUUGUAUGCAUGCUCUCAUUCUUCACUACUCUUGCUCUCCUUCUUUCGCCCUUCCCAGAAAUGAGACAGAUAAACUAGCUUUGCUUGAAGUCAAGGCUAGCAUAACUCAUGACCCUUUUGGAGUUUUAGCUUCACAGAACGAAACCAAGCAUUUUUGCUAUUGGGGUGGUGUUUCGUGUGGUCGUCGUCACAAAAGAGUAACAAGUGUGGACCUCGAGUCCUCGAAACUUGCAGGCUCUAUAACACCGCAUGUUGGAAACUUGAGUUUCUUGAGAGAACUGUAUCUCUCAAAUAAUAGCUUCGAGAAAAUUUUCAGUGUGACCGGUAUCUCAACAGCUUCAACAAUCAAAUUCCUCCACAAAUCAACCGUCGACAUAGAUUGCAAGAUUUAUGGCUGGAGAAUAAUUCACUCAACGGUCAAAUUCCAACUAACUUCUCACUCUGCUCUCAACUCCAGACAAUCCAUCUAGGUCACAAUUUGCUAGUGGGAAACAUGCCUGAGAAGCUUGGCAGCUUUCAAAGCUAACAAUAAAUUAAAUGAAUUGGUCACAUGCAUAAAUGGUUCAAAAACAUAAAUUAUGUUCAAUUAAUUAUUGGAGAAAAUAAUCCUUAAAACUCAAUAUCCAAAAUUAAAACAAACAACAAAAAAUCAUCCAAACAUAAAAAAAAAAAGGAAAUUUUAUUUAAACCCAACUAUCUUAUUUUCAAACCCAACUUAAAUAUUUUUACCAUCAAAUUCUCUAUUUUGCCCCGACGUUAUUUAGAAAGUAAAAAUAAAUUAAAAGAACAUGAACCCACAUAUAUGGCCACCACUUUUCAGCAUCUUCUUUGAUGAUGCCGGUGUGAAUCUCUUGUCACCGGUGUCUCUUAGCCACCUCCUCUUUUGUAUUAUCUCACUCCUUAUUUGUCCCUUUCCCUCCUCUAUUUCUCACGCUCUUCAAUCAUAACGCAGGCAUCAGAGGCCUACAAGCAUAGUCGAAGCUACGUGAGGACGAGGAGUGGCAGCCGCCCCUCCUUUCGCCGGAAAACAUGCCUAGGACCGCUUCGAUUGAAACUUGCACAGGUGGUGUGUCGUGGUAGUCCUUGGCUGUGAAGGAGCUCCUUCCUACAACUUCCAUGUCAGUGCGUUUGGCAUACGUUGUCGAGUCCAUACAAAUGGAGACCAAAAGCCGUACAUCGACUAGUGUGGUGCUUUUGCUGCCGUUCAACUACUUGAAGCUACUUUUGCUGUAACUCAUUCAAAUAGUCGGAGAUGUGAAGAUUAAGAGCAAGAAGCGGAAGCAUAGUGAUUGAUAAUGUAACCCAGAUUAAGAAAACCCAGGCGUAGAACUUCCUCUCUAGUUACAAGUUUUCGAGUGGUACAGAGCCGGCAAUGCGGAGAACCACAAAUGUCUAUGGCCGAGAAGGGAUGACGGAGUUGUCGAUGAGGAAGAUGUUGAGCCGAAGAGGGAUCAUUUAUCUUGUAUGGACAGUUCAAAGUCAAAACUUGUGGAAACUAAAUGGUGUGCCAUAUAAGGGGGUUAUGACGCUAAAAGAAUUUAACUUGAAGUUGCCAUGGAGAAUUGCCGGUGAAUCUUCCAUAGGGUUUGAGGUGGAAGAGAACCACUGGGUGUGGAAAGAGAUUUCAAUUUUUUUUAUUUCUAUUGAUGCACAAAACCGGAGGUCUUGGAACAACGUAAAUCCGACCAUGAAUCUGCAUGAAAUGUAAAUAACACAAGAUGUAUCGUGGUUCACCCCAAGGUUUGGGCUACAUCAACACUAAUUAUGUAUUUAUCUGAGGGAGAGAGAGCUCUGAGAGUGAGAGCUUUGAGAGGGGGUGAGAGGGCCUAGGAAUUGGUCUUCCCUAAUUGUGAGGGUGAAGGGUACUUUUAUAGAAUAAAGACUCCUCACUUAUUACAUAUUUGCCCCUUCCUUUAUCACAUAAUUACUUUCAAGUCCCCCGAGUAUUUAUACGAGAUCUAAAUACGAGGCCCUAAAUAUGGUAUAAACAGUAGUCCCCCAAGUCUUCAGUCAAGAGAAUCUUUUGGCUGGAGAUUUGAAAUUCGGUCCAUUUAUGGGCCGAAGUAACUAGAUGUUGUCUUGAACUGAUGUUCGAUAUGAGACGGUGCUCAAUCUGAAAUAAUGCUCAACUAGAAGUAGCACAUGUUGCAAGGCUGCUCGGCUCGUGGCUUAUGUUGCCUUGGUUGGCUCAGCUUGUUGCGUUGAAGGUGAGGGAGUCCCUUUUAUAUAAUAAGGGCUCGCUCCUCAAUACAUAAGUGAUGGGCUAGGAGUGAUGCUCACGGCGAGGCGGUUGCUCAGCUGGCGGUGUUGCUCUCUAAUGAAGGUGAGGGAGUCCCUUUUAUAGAAUAAGGGAUCGCUCCUCAAUACAUAAGUGAUGGGCUAGGAAUGAUGCUCGCAGCGAGGCGGUUGCUCAACUAGCGGCGUUGCUCUAUAAUGAAGGUGAAGGAGUCCCUUUUAUAAAAUAAGGGCUCGUUCCUCAAUACAUAAGUGAUGGGCUAGGAGUGAUGCUCACGGCGAGGCGGUUGCUCAGCUGAUGGCAUUGCUCUCUAAUGAAGGUGAGGGAGUCCCUUUUAUAAAAUAAGGGCUCGCUCCUCAGUACAUAAAUAAUGGGGGCUCUCUAAUGAAAGUGAGGGAGUCCCUUUUAUAGAAUAAGGGCUCGCUCCUUAAUACAUAAAUAAUGGGCUAAGUCCCCCAAGUAUUUUUCAUGAGGCCCAGUUGAGGCCCAAUAUAUGGUACAUAAUGUAAUCCCUCAAGUCUUCGGUCAAUAGAGUCUGUUGGCUGGAGACUUCAAAUUGAAUCCAUGUAUGGGCUGAAGUGGCGGUUGUUCGGAGGCGAUAUUUGUAUACCCUACACUGAAGCUUUGUAGGUGAAGCUUUGCAAGUGAAGCUUUGAAGCUGGAGCUCUGUAAAUGAAGCUUUUGAAGAUAGAGCUUUUGUAAAUCAAGUUUUUGAAGCUAGAGCUCUGUAAAUAAAGCUUUUGAAGCUGAUUGACAUAAGUGAUGCUCAUGAAUGUUUAUGUUGAUUUACAUGAGUGAUGCUCAUGGAUAUUGUCAUGAGUGAUGGUCAUGAAUGUUAUCAUGAGUGCUCAUGAAUGUUUAUGUAUGAUUGUCAUGAGUGAUGCUCAUGAAUGUUUAUGUAUGAAUGACAUGAGUAAUGCUCAUGUAUAAUUUGGAGUACUGGGCGUACUUUUGAUCAUCUGGUUGGUGGCAUGAAGGAGAGUACGUGUUGUACAUUUCAUCACCUGGUUGGUGGCAUGAAUGGCUAGUUGCCAAAUGAUAUUAGAGACGGGUUGUACAUUUUAUCAUCUGUUUGGUGGCAUGAAUGGCUAGUUACCAAAUGAUAUUAAAGUACGGGUUGUACAUUUCAUCACCUGGUUGGUGGUAAUAGUGGCAGGUUGCCGAAGAAUUUUGGAGUACUGGGCGUACUUUUGAUCACCUGGUUAGUGGUAAUAGUGGCAGGUUGCAAAAUAAUUUUUGGAGUACUAGGCGUACUAUUGGUCACCUAGUUGGUGAUAAUAGAGGGUCUGGCUCUUUUGGGCAUAUGGGCAUUCGCCCUCCACAUGACAUUGCAGCCCAUUAUUUUGGGCUUGCAGUUUUUUUUAUUUUUUAUUACCCUCUGAUAAGGUUUAUACAGAUGUCUUUGAAAGAUAAGAAAAAUAAUUUACACCAUUCAGAAACAAAAAAAGUAAAUCACAUCAUUCUGGUAGGGUGUUUAUUCCUUACUUUUGCUUUCUGAUUUGCUUUUGCUUUCGUUUUUUGCAUUGCUUUUGCUUUCUUCUUUUCUCUUUCUACGUUGCUUUUGCUUUCAUUUUCUGCUCUCUGCUUGGUUGCUGCUAGGACCUUGUAGUGGGAUGGCAUGUGAGGAAAGCCUUCAAGUUGCACUACUGUCGCCAGCCAAUUGCCUUUUACUUUUCCUUUUCUCUUUUCCUGACCCAACAAGCUAACUGCAUAGCAAUCAUACCCAAAAGCCAGAAAGAAAAUGAAGCUAGUGCUCAGCCCAGCACCAAGCAGCGUGGUAGAUUCCAUGGACGAAAAUGAGAGGUGGCUUUUCACUUGGUCUCUCCUUUUCCAUGGACGAAAACGAGUGGUUGCCAUCUGUAUUUGGUGUGAAUCUGAUCGGGACGGCCAUUCUUUUGGCAGCUAAACUCACGCUCAAUGAAGGGGCAUGAGGAAGGAUCGUAGAGCAAGUAGGACUGGUCCAGAACCCAUCUGCAACAAGAUCUCUCUCUGUCUCUAUGUUUUUCUUUCUCUCUCUUGAUUUAUCUUGCAACAACCUCACUGGAUCAUUACCCACAUUUCUCAUCACCGAUCUGGACCGGGUGUCUACCUUCUUCUCGAAUGGAAAUUUGGAAUUCCAGAUUCAGGGGAGAAAUCCGAGCAAAAGGAUUAAUCCAGAAUCAGGAGAUAUGUACCCGAGAGAGAUUGGAUCGGAGCAGGUCCAUGGGGUUGAGCAUCGCUCUUUGUACAGAAAAAAAAGGGUUUUACUGCAUCAAGACGUGCACAUGACGCUGAGAGGGAUGAUGAGGGUGGCACACUCGAAUUUUAACAGUGGCCAUGAAUCUUUCUGGGUUCGGUAAAGUUUGAAUCUUUCUGUUUCAUCGACUUUGCAACAAACAUCAGCACAUCCAAUCUCAACCCGUCUUUCGGGUUAAAGUUCCUCUCUAACAAAUCCAAGGAAAAAUCAACAGCACGUCAAGCACAAUCACUUGCAUAGUAUUGAAACUCACCUAUCUGCUAAAAUUUGAGUUUCUAACCACCCCAAAGUAAAGGGUUAAAAAUACCAAAAACCCAUCGAAAGGGAAACUCUUGAAGACCUAGAUGGCGGGAAUCAACGGCUGGAUGAGAGUUUGGAUGGCAGUGAACUAGGUAAUCACGUAUUUUCCGUACUGGAUGCCGUCGAAGAAGGGGUAGAAGUAGCACACAGCGGAGAUGAGGUGGUCGGGGGCGUCGAUAAAGUUAUCGAUGCCUUUAGAUUGGGUUGUGGUGAGUGGUCUUCUGGGUUUGAUUUUGUCGGUGUGUUUAGUGAGGAUGGAGUGGUGGUGGUUUAGAGAGAAGGCUGGACAUAGCCAUCUCUUCGGAGGAAAUGAAAUGAAAGGUUUUCUGAAAAAAGCCCAAAAAUGGAGGUUUUGGGUUUUUGGGUUGUGCAGAUUCACGGUAGUGAGAUGAAAAUGAAGGAAAUUUUGUGAAAAACAUGUUCAUUUAAGCAACAUCUAUAGCAUGCAAUUAACAAAUUAAAGGCAGAAUCAUGCUUGCAUGCACUCAAAACAAAACAUUACCCAUUAAAUUCAAAGCCUAGUAGAUUGGUUAACCUUGACUCAACUUAAAACAACAUUUGUUAGUUGAGAAAUUAUACCUUUAUAGAUUCCUCUUUGCAUCAGCAAAGGCUAAUCACCCAAAGAGAGGGCCUUCAAUCCUUGCAUCUUAGAUCUAUGGAUUUGGAUGGUGAAAUGGUUCUCCAAGUUCCCAAAAUUGAGAACCUCUAAGUCUCUUCACCAAGGUUAGAUUGGAGAAGAAAUGAGUGACCUUGGAGUAGUAGGAUUGCUAGCUAAACCCUCCAAGGAGGCCAGCCACUUUAGAGAGAAAGGAGAGCUUAUGUUCUCAUCCUUUCCCCAAAAGAAAACCCUAAAUGAAUUUUGGCUAUAAAGUCAUAUUUAUACCUUAAUUCAUUGGAGUGGCAAACUUGUAAAUAAGUCCAAAACUCACUCCAUCUCUAAAUGGCCAGCCAUAGGGUAUUAUUGGGCAAAUUGGGCCUUUGUGAAUCAUUAUUCAUUAAGUUGUCAUACAACUUAAGUCAAUGGGCUUAACAUUCGAAGCCCAUUGGGCCUUAAGGUCCAAAACUAUCCCGAGGUCUUUAACGAACUUAUUCGUUUGAUUAAUUAACAUAUUAAUUAAUCCUUGCCAUAAAUAAUUAAACCAUUUAAUUAUUCUUACUCAUCUCCAUUGUUUCUUCAAUCUCCACCUUACACGGUGUACGAUCCAUUAGGUUCCUUGUAGUGAGGCAGUGGGCGAUUAAAACCAUUUCAAAUCGAUUGUGAAUUGAAACUUACUUUCAAUUCUCCCUUUAGUGAUUAUACACAUUUAGGGCUUCCACAAACCAUGAGUGACACCUAGCAGCAUAUCAUGGUUACCCAAGCUAAUCAGAAGAGGUGGAGAACCUAUUCAGUUUAGGAUUACAAAUGCAAUACGUAAUUUCUCUAAUACAAUACUCUUGACCACAUUGUUUGGUUUGAUAGUUUAUUCAUGUAUACUAUCCAAUGUGAUUCGUGUGUUUAUAUGAUUACCUUGAAUGUGAUUUGAAACGACUUCCUAAAUCUCAUUCAUACUCUGGCCAGAGAUUCUUAAUCAUAUCAUAGAGUAUUCUCCCCCAAACUGUUUGAAGGUUAGAGAUCCCUUGUUGCGCAUUCACUUGCCUCCAUGGCUAAGUGGCUUAACCCCGACGAUGCCGUGGACACCCGCGGAUGGGGUGACUUUGACAUAAUCAAAGAUCAAGUACCUAACCACAAGACAACUAUGAUGCCUUUGGUCAAAUGACUACUUUGCAUUAUCCCAACCAUGAGUUCUCAUGUGACAUGAAUAUGAGAACUCUUCGUUGAUCGUGUUCAGUGAACUCAUUCUUUAUUGAGCACCUACGUACUUGUCUUGAUGUCACACACACCAAUGACUCGAGACUAGUCACUCUUCCUGAGAGAAGACACAACACGUACUGAUCUUAACGGACUGUUAAUGCCCAAUUGGCAAUCCUAUGAUCAGGAACGUUUAGGAUGUGUCUACGAAAGAAUGGUCUCAUGAAUCUAACUUCUUUAGAUUGCAUUCUCCCAAUCACAUAUUCUUUGGACUUAUCGUUUAAGCGUAUAACAUUUAUAUGAGACGGCUCAAACAAUAAUCUUUGCCCUUGAUAUUAAACUAGAUUAGUUUAACAUGUGAAAUGUCUGUAAAGUAUCAUCAUAUGAUUGGUUUUAGGGCACAUUUCCAACAAUCUCCCACUUGCACUAGAGCCAAUCAGCUUGGUCAUCAGUGAUGAUACCUCUUCUGUAGUCAUUUCAUAAAUGGCUGAGUAGUAGGCCUAGACAAUGGAUAUCUAUAUGUUAUCCAUAGAAGCAACCUUGAGAAUAACGACGUCACCAUUAUACAUGAUUCUCAAUCAUGUGGUUCAGUCUCUCAUUUGAGUUCGGAUCUUGAUGAGACCUUGAUUCCCUGGCUUGAGCUAUCGCCCCAUUAGUGUCGUAGUGUCGGUACACUAGAGACACUUUCUGGUUAGAACCGAAUAGAGAGUUCAUAAAUGAACUUUCCCAUCCAAACAACAUUCUUGUAAGCUUCUAUAUGGCAAUAUAUUUUGCAUUCAUAAUGGAACACACUAAAGUCAUUACUUUUAAUGUUUCCAUCCAAAUAUCUCUUUAGUCAUAAUAAAGAGAUAUCUGAUUAUCUCUUCAUUCAUAAUGAAGAAAUAUCCAAUGAUGUAUUAGAUUCAUAAUCUAAUACAUUUACGCUUCCAUUACGUUACUCUAAUUCUUCCUCAUUCUUUGGGGAAUCUAUCCUUUAGUAUUUCUUAAAUACUUAAGGACUCACUUGACAGUUGUCGUGGUUCUGAUCCUUGGCUUGCACUGAUAUCGUCUUGUACCUUUCUAGGUACAACUCAUAUCAAUGUUUUUCAUACAAUAUGAAAUACAUAAAUCACCUUUCUAUGUAUGCAUAAAGGAUUCUAUUUACGCAUUAUUUCUUUGGGAGUCAAAGGGUACGUUCCCUUUGAGAAGGGCAACUUGCUAGUCUCACUAGAGUCGUCCUUCUAAUUGAAGUUUAUCAUCAUAUGAGAAACUUCCUAGCAUCUCUUGUCUAUUAUUAGGGAUUGAUAUAAUCUAAUUAUAUCUUGAAAUAUAUCAUUAUAGAUUUCUAUCCCAUGUAUUUAGACUAUAUCUCCCAUACACAUUCUAUCGUUAUAGAAUGUUUAAAGUCAUAACUUUAACGAAGAAGUAUUCUUUUCAUUUCCAAAAUUAAUAUAUCAUAUAUGUGUGUAUAUAUAUAUAUAUAUAUAUAUAUAUAUUUAAAUUUAGGAAUAUGAUUAACUCCCACUAAUCUUUUGUAAACCUAGUAAACAAAAGAUUCAUUCACAUCUUUAUGAGAAAUCAAACGAUUUGAUCUUUCUCUCAUAAGACACUUAUAGCUCCCACUAGCUUGCUAAGAUCCAUGAUGGAUGGAUCUCUACAACUUACAUGUUUUGUGAUUCAUAGUUUUAGACAUAUAUUAUCAAGACUAUCUUAAUAAUGGUUUCGGAAACCCAUAUUAUGUCCAAACAUUGAAUCACCAUUUAGUUGUAGCUAGCAAUCUUCGAAUUAAUUGAAACCAUGACUACGUCAAAGACGGUUUCUUCAAAGUCAACCAAUCUCUUUGAUUGUAGUCACCUUAAGCUACCAAUUAGCUAUGGAGGUUUCAUUAUUUCGGGUCAAAUGGUACUUUACCAUUUCCUUGAGUAUCUCGUAUAUACACUCAAUGUAGUCAUAAGGAUUUUCAUUCUUAUUUCUUUCGAAUUAAGAGGUGCAACUCUAUGACAUAGUCAUAAAGUUCAAACCAUUCAACUAAGACGGUUUAUAAAUCUUUCUUGACUACCUUGGAGCUUGUGGUAUAGGAACUAGGUUGUUAUAUUUGUUGAUCACUAUCUUGUUUCUCAAAGAACCCAUUCUUUGAGUUCUAUCUCUCGUUCAUUUGCGCUAUCUUAGGCAAAUCCUAGUGUAGGAUUACAAUGAACUACCCAACAAACAACAUUUGUUAGUUGGUUUAUAGAAAUGAUAUCCAAAUGUUAAUUUAAGGAUACCCACGAGAUAAUUUUUAAACAAAUAUUGCUUAUUAGCACACAACCCCAAAUCUUAACAUGAUUAAGAUUUGUCUUUCUUUCCAACUACAUCCUAUGGAGUCAUGAAAAUUUUUGGAAGAUCUUCUAAUUGACAAUCAUAUUGUCUUAGAAGUAUAUAUCCUAUAUAUGGGUAAUUGAUAAUAUCCAACGAACUAAAUCUUAUUCAAGUUCGUUCUUCUCUUAAUGGAGAAAUCCAUUAUCUUAUGAUGCUUCUUUCCUUGAUAUCUUUCAAGAAUACUAUUCUAAAGUGUUACCACUCCUUGGAUCAAAUCUAAGGAGGUAAAUACUUUAGACGUCUUACUCAUCAACUUACAUUUCUUGAAUUCUUUGAAACAUUUUGCAAAGUAUUCGGACUUGUGUUUAUUCAAAAUAAACUAUAGUCCAACCGAGAGUGAUCUUCGGUGAAUGUCAUACAACAUGAGUAGUAUUAUGUUUGUGGACAAGUGUCACUAACAUCUAAGUGAAUUAACCUCAACAACUUUGUGAUUCUUUCUUCUUUCCAAAAGAAUAAAAAUUCGAACAUUUCGCCUCGAUACAAUUUUAAUAAGAAGGUAUUGGAUCCGGAUUUAAUGAUCCAAAGCAUCCAUCUAUGACCAACUCAUAAUUUAUGUUUUAGAGGUAUCACAACUCAAUUGAGAUUAGUCACUACCUUGCAACCUUUUGGGUUUUAAGCAUCGCUAUAUUCUAAACAGUUAACACUACCAUAUCAUCUCUACUAUAGAGAUAAUUAAUUAGAAUACAAUAAUCUAAUCAUUCAUUAAUAAAGAACAAUGUUUUGUCAAACAAAACAUUUAUCCAUUUAACAUACGGAAUUAAGUUCCUUUAUUCAAUUGGAAUGUAAAGACAAUCUUUGUUUUUCCAUUUUCUUUGGUAGUUUAUAUGAGGAAGUAAGUACUAUCUGCUUUCGCAGAGAUCUACAUUUAAUUCACGUUCCGAAUGUUAAGUACUUUCUCUUCUCUCAUUAAUCUUCUACUUCUUAUUAGCCACACUUUUACAACGAUUGUAAAACAUAGUUACUAAUACGGAAUCAAGCAUUCAAGUAGAAGAACCAACUGUUUUGAACUUUUCAAGAACAAUUUACAACACCUUCGAAAGGUGUGUUCUUGACACUUGCAAGACAUUUCUUGCAAAUACCCCUUCCAAUGUCCAUCCUUUCAUAAAGAAAGUUUGUUCCCUUGGAGUUUAUUUCUCUUUCUUCAUUUGACUUCUCCUUUGACUACAAUAGUCAUGGUCCCUAAACUCCCACUGUCUCUCUUGAAACUUAUUUCAAUUGUGUUAUACACAUCAAACGAUUUGGAGAGCGUGUGGUUAUUGUUCACUAUAUAGUUUACAAUAAACUUAGUGAACCAUUUGGAUAGGGACACAAAGGUGAAGUCCUUACUUAGUUUCCGUUUCUAGAAGUGGUUUAACACUUCAACACUCAAUGAUUCAAAAUCAUCAUAAGUCCAUGUUGAUGGACUAUUUUUGUCAAACAACCAUUAUGUUCUAAACAUAAUUACAAACUUUCAAGAGUUGUUCAAGACAACUCUCAUUUCUUCAUACAACAAUUUGUAAGUGAAGAAUCAUGGCACAUAAAGUGUCCAUGCCCUUGUGCUUUCUUCUUAAGUUCUUUGUUCAUUUAACAAAGAAACAAGCACUAGUGUUUGCAUUAGCUAAGGGUUGUUCAAAGCAACUCUUAUUUCUUCAUACAACGAUUUGUAAGUGAAGAACUAUGACAUUAAAAGUGUUGUCCUCUUUAUGAUAGACUUAUCUAACAUGUUCUUCCAAUGAUACAUUAUCAAUAGGAAGAUUGUGAGGAUUAGACUACUUAGGUACAUAUACAAUCCAUUUAAGACAAUCUUUGGGAUUGUUGUACCAAGUCCGGAAACUAAAGCAUUCGGCUUUUCUUAGUCAAGUUUUGGAUAGCGUUUGCAAAUAUAUUGGUAAACAAAUACAUAACGUAUAUAAAUUGAUUGAUUUUAAGCCAUUUGAUUCGGGUCUUUAAAUCAAAUAGCACCACCCACUAUUUUUGGCAAAUUCCAUAUCCCUCAUCGGAAUUCGAGAGUUUUGGAGGAAACUCUUAGUAGGGUAUGAGAGGCUCACUAUUACCAAGCCCACCUCAGAAUUAUAUCAUGUUGGCUAGCGUUAAUAAUAAUGAGAGAGUACGCUUACUCAUUUGCAUCUCUUGCAAGUACCCAUUUAAUUUGGCCUCUAGAGAAUGAUGCCUCAAAAUUAUAUCAUGUUGGCGUCAUUGUACUUAGUUAAGUCUUUCCCACCAUGCCUAGUUCGUGUAGGGGUUCAAGCAUAGCCUCAGAAUUAUAUCAUGUUGGCUAAACUCGUUGCCUACCUCACUUCAUCAUGUAUGUAUAUAGAACUCCUCCUGAGUGUAAGCACGCACUUUGUACUCCCCCAUUAUAGGGUGAAGUCGGUGUACAAGUCACAAACGAUCGGAGCCUACCACGGUGGAAGGCCACGAAAGAGUGUUCAAAGCACUCUCACGCUUAUCAACUUAAUAAUGGUUUGGUUGAGGGUUUUUAGGUCUCAUCACAUAUAAAUAUUCAUUUUAAUAUUUAUUAAAACAAUUUUGGUCCUAUUACAACUAUUGGUCCAUUUGAUUGAAUUUAGUUGUAUAUAAUACUCCCACUAUGCUUAUAAAAACGGUUUUAAAGCAAGAGUAUAUGAUACAACUAACAUAAACUUUGCAUUCAUUUGAUGGACUAUAUAGUUGCCUUAGGGCCUUAGGAUGACUAUGAACCUUUGUUAAGAUUCAACACGAGCCUAGUGUUGAAUCUCGGUCUAGGGAUGGUGAUUGAUUUUAGUUACGCGUUUAAUCACAUUAAGGCGUGUUGUCUUAGGGGCGUUGGACCCUCUACUCCAUUUUCAUGCAUAUCAAAUAAUACAAGAAAGGAGUACUUCAAAGUAAAGAUGAGCUUAUGCUCUUUACAACAUUUGAAUAAAACAAAUUACUUUAAAGUGAAGAAGAGCUUAUGCUCUUUUACAACAUUUGAUCAAAUCAAAUUACAACCAAAAUCUAAUCUACACAUUCCCAUGGUUCAAACAAAUUUGAAACGGCCUUUCACAUAGCUCAAUUAUCGUAGGCUUAGGUUCAUAAUCACCCUUUAAUUAAUUAACACUUUAACUAAUUAAAUUGAAUGCAACAUUUUCAUUUGGUUUUUGUAUCCAUAAAAUUGAUUUAAAUGGAGCUAAAUGAAAUGAAAAUCCAAUUCUCAUUUAAAGAGACAAAACCAUUUUGUUCUCAACCUAAUUUGGGCCAAAAUGCAAUAACCUUAACCUUUGGGCUAUGUUGCAAAACUUAAACUUUUGAGCUCAUUUUGUAAAAACACAAAAGUUCACUACUUCAUGUAAUCACAACUAGAACCCAAAAUUUUCAACAAAUUGAAAAACUUCAUUAAAUGAACAAAACAAUUUGUCCUUUAAUGAUUUUGGGCCUUUACGUAAUACGUAAACUUUUGGGUCAAACUAAAAAUUACACAAAAGUACCAAAACUUUAUGUAAUUGCAUAAAAGCCCCAAAAGCACCCCACUUGUAGGGUGGCCGGUUUUGGAGAGAUUGAAGCCACAAAAUUUUGAAAAAUUUUCAACAAAGUCAUAAAGCCAUGCAAGUGGAUAUAGGUUGGUGUGAAUAAAGCCAUGCAAGUGGUGUGUGUGUAAGAGAAGUACUUCUUACACACCCAUCACCAUUUCUAUCACCUUUCAAAAUUUCAAUAAAUGUUUUGUUGAUAGAUAAGUCACACCCACCAACACAAAAUAAAGACUUUAUGAAUCAUCCAAAACUUUGAAUCAAAACAUCAAACCUUUUUGUUCUUGGUAAGAACUUCAAGAACAAUGAAGAACAUCCAUGAAAACCCAUAAGAGUUCCAUGAACAUUUUCAAGCAAUAAAAAUCAAAUUUUCACUACUCAAAAUGGGGUUAACAUCCUAGGGUACUUAGGGGUUCCAAAAGUCACCUUAAAACACUUUUAACAAGACAAACAUGAACCCAAAAAAUCACCCUUUGGAUUUGGCCGAAAAUCCCCAAAAACUUGGCACCAAAUUUUAGCUCCAAAAUUCAUGCUCAUAUGAACUACAUCUACAACAUUUGAGAUGGCAAAUUUUCUAACAAAAUUUACAUUCAAAAAAGCAAGAAUAAAGCUUGUAACAUUUACAACAUUCAAAUAAAAGAUUAUGAACUACAAAACCCAAAAUGAUUCACCAACUACUAGACCUAGGCUCUGAUACCACUUGAAGGAAAUUUUGUGAAAAACAUGUUUAUUUAAGCAACAUCUAUAGCAUGCAAUUAACAAAUUAAAGGCGGAAUCAUGCUUGCAUGCACUCAAAACAAAACAUUACCCAUUAAAUUCAAAGCCUAGUAGAUUGGUUAACCUUGACUCAACUUAAAACAACAUUGGUUAGUUGAGAAAUUAUACCUUUGUAGAUUCCUCUUUGCAUAAGCAAAGGCUAAUCACCCAAAGAGAGGGCCUUCAUUCCUUGCAUCUUAGAUCUAUGGAUUUGGAUGGAUGAAAUGGUUCUCCAAGUUCCCAAAAUUGAGAACCUCUAAGUCUCUUCACCAAGGUUAUAUUGGAGAAGAAAUGAGUGACCUUGGAGUAGUAGGAUUGCUAGCUAAACCCUCCAAGGAGGCCAGCCACUUUAGAGAGAAAGGAGAGCUUAUGUUCUCAUCCUUUCCCCAAAAGAAAACCCUAAAUGAAUUUUGGCUAUAAAGUCAUAUUUAUACCUUAAUUCAUUGGAGUGGCAAACUUGUAAAUAAGUCCAAAACUCACUCCAUCUCUAAAUGGCCGGCCUUAGCGUAUUAUUGGGCAAAUUGGGCCUUUGUGAAUCAUUAUUCAUUAAGUUGUCAUACAACUUAAGUCAAUGGGCUUGACGUUCGAAGCCCAUUGGGCCUUAAGGUCCAAAACUAUCCCGAGGUCUUUAACGAACUUAUUCGUUUGAUUAAUUAACAUAUUAAUUAAUCCUUGCCAUAAAUAAUUAAACCAUUUAAUUAUUCUUACUCAUCUCCAUUGUUUCUUCAAUCUCCACCUUACACGGUGUACGAUCCAUUAGGUUCCUUUUAGCGAGGCAGUGGGCGAUUAAAACCAUUUCAAAUCGAUUGUGAAUUGAAACUUACUUUCAAUUCUCCCUUUAGUGAUUAUACACGUUUAGGGCUUCCACAAACCAUGAGUGACACCUAGCAGCAUAUCAUGGUUACCCAAGCUAAUCAGAAGAGGUGGAGAACCUAUUCAGUUUAGGAUUACAAAUGCAAUACGAUCUUUCUCUAAUACAAUACUCUUGACCACAUUGUUUGGUUUGAUAGUUUAUUCAUGUAUACUAUCCAAUGUGAUUCGUGUGCUUAUAUGAUUACCUUGAAUGUGAUUUGAAACGACUUCCUAAAUCUCAUUCAUACUCUGGCCAGAGAUUCUUAAUCAUAUCAUAGAGUAUUCUCCCCCAAACGGUUUGAAGGUUAGAGAUCCCUUGUUGCGCAUUCACUUGCCUCCAUGGCUAAGUGGCUUAACCCCGACGAUGCCGUGGACACCCGCGGAUGGGGUGACUUUGACAUAAUUAAAGAUCAAGUACCUAACCACAAGACAACUAUGAUGCCUCAGGUCAAAUGACUACUUUGCAUUAUCCCAACCAUGAGUUCUCAUGUGACAUGAAUAUGAGAACUCUUCAUUGAUCGUGUUCAGUGAACUCAUUCUUUAUUAAGCACCUACGUACUUGUCUUGAUGUCACACACACCAAUGACUCGAGACUAGUCACUCUCCCUGAGAGAAGACACAUCACGUACUGAUCUUAACGGAUUGUCAAUGCCCAAUUGGCAAUCCUAUGAUCAGGAACGUUUAGGAUGUGUCUACGAAAGAAUGGUCUCAUGAAUCUAACUUCUUUAGAUCGCAUUCUCCCAAUCACAUAUUCCUUGGACUUAUCGUUUAAGCGUAUAAUAUUUAUAUGAGACGGCUCAACAAUAAUCUUUGCCCUUAAUAUUAAACUAGAUUAGUUUAACAUGUUAAAUGUCCGUAAAGUAUCAUCAUAUGAUUGGUUUUAGGGCACAUUUCCAACAGAAAAAAAUAAAGAGAACCGACAUAGCUUUUCGUGUUGAUUUCCACAGACGACGACAAAUGUUAAUGCACAAAACCGGAGGUCUUGGAACAACGUAAAUCCAACCGUGAAUCUGCAUGAAAUGUAAAUAACACAAGAUGUAUCGUGGUUCACCCCAAGGUUUGGGCUACGUCCACACUAAUUAUGUAUUUAUCUGAGGGAGAGAGAGCUUUGAGAGGGGAUGAGAGGGCCUAGGAAUUGGCCUCCCCUAAUUGUGAGGGUGAGGGGUCCUUUUAUAGAAUAAGGCCUCCUUACUUAUUACAUAUUUGCCCCUUCCUUUAUCACAUAAUUACAUUCAAGUCCCCCGAGUAUUUAUACGAGAUCUUAAAACGAGGCUCUAAAUAUGGUAUAAACAAUUUCUUUUUUUCAAUUUUAAUCAAAGGGUGAAUUAGGAAUUUUAAGAAAAUAUUUUUUGUAUUGGGUGUAGAAAGAGGUUGAAUGGGUUCCAAUAAAAUUUCCCUAAAAAGAAUGGCAUAACCUCCCUUAAAAUCGGCAUACCCCAAACUCCACCCCUCACCCUAUACCCAACCCCAAACCCAAAAUUAACUCCAAAAACACAUAUUAAUGAGAAAUAAAUUAAAAUUUAGAGAGAAAAUACCUUUUGGCAGGAUUGAGAGUGAUUGAGAGAUAGGGAGAGAGGAGAGAGAGUGAGAGAGUAAGAGAUAGAGACAGAGAGAGAGAGAGAGAGAGAGAGAGAUGAGAGAUUGAGUGUGAGAGGGGGUCGGAUUUGGGGAGAGGGUAAGAGACGAAAGGUAAGAAAACUAGAGAGAUAAAUUGAAAAAAUUAUGGAUGAGUUAUUUUGGUUUUAAAAACCGUAUCACUUUGUGCUACGAAGGAUACGAUUUUGCAUGAAAAAAGAUUGGUCGUGCAAAGUCUUAAAAAAAUAUUUUUUAAAAAAAAUCAUGUCUUCCAUUUUAGGCACCCACCCAAAUUUUUAGGGUUUUGCACAACGAAAUAUUGGUCGCGUAAAGUUUUGCGCAACGAACAAAUUUUUCAUUGCACAAAGUUUUUAAAAAAUUGAAAAAUUAAAUUUCUCGCUUCCAUUUUCAGCACCUGCCCAAAUAGAAAUAAAUUUUAUUAGACAAUUUAAAAUAUAAAAUAAAAUAAACA
rnacentral:lncRNA from 1 species